CAUGCAAGUCGAACGGAAAGGCCCUUCGGGGUACACGAGUGGCGAACGGGUGAGUAACACGUGGGUAAUCUGCCCUGCACAUCGGGAUAAGCCUGGGAAACUGGGUCUAAUACCGAAUAGGACCACAGAACACAUGUCCUGUGGUGGAAAGCUUUUGCGGUGUGGGAUGGGCCCGCGGCCUAUCAGCUUGUUGGUGGGGUGAUGGCCUACCAAGGCGACGACGGGUAGCCGGCCUGAGAGGGUGUCCGGCCACACUGGGACUGAGAUACGGCCCAGACUCCUACGGGAGGCAGCAGUGGGGAAUAUUGCACAAUGGGCGAAAGCCUGAUGCAGCGACGCCGCGUGGGGGAUGACGGCCUUCGGGUUGUAAACCUCUUUCACCAUCGACGAAGGUCCGGGUUUUCUCGGAUUGACGGUAGGUGGAGAAGAAGCACCGGCCAACUACGUGCCAGCAGCCGCGGUAAUACGUAGGGUGCGAGCGUUGUCCGGAAUUACUGGGCGUAAAGAGCUCGUAGGUGGUUUGUCGCGUUGUUCGUGAAAACUCACA
rnacentral:rRNA from 1 species